CAGCGUCACGAGUGGCAACCAUAUUUAUUGGGCCUAAAGCGUCCGUAGCCUGUUUGAUAAGUCUUUUGUGAAAUCGUUGCGCUCAACGUAACGUUGUGCAAGAGAUACUGUCAGACUUGGAAUUGGGAAGAGUUAGAGGUAUUCUGGGGGGAGCGGUAAAAUGCUAUAAUCCCUGGAGGACCACCAGUGGCGAAAGCGUCUAACUAGAACAACUUCGACGGUGAGGGACGAAAGCCAGGGGAGCAAAACGGAUUAGAUACCCGUGUAGUCC
rnacentral:rRNA from 1 species